CUUAGAGCCUUGUUUAGGUUUGUACAAACAAGUAUAAAGCCCUCAGUAUUAGCUGUUUGUUUUCUUUGGCUCUACAGCCAAGUAGGUAUCAACAGACGUUAAACUUUGGACAUUCUGACUUGCACACAAAGGAGAACACAAGCAUAUUUUUAAAUCGUGAUUACUUCAGGUCGUAAACAUAUACAAAGCAAACAUUACCGAGUCAUGUAAGGAUGUGUGAUGUGUGUCACUCAGCAAAACACCUCCUAGCAAACUUGCUCUUCUUUCCUCCUUCUCUGCCCAUUCUUUGACAGGCUAAUUGCAAAGCUCCAAGUUGUGUUUGAAGUGCUGCCUUUAAAAUCAGAGUGCUACAGUCUAGCCCUGCUUAUAGCAAUACUGCAGGGAAAAGAAAUGUAUUAAUGUAUUUUCUGAUUGCAAAAGUACUAAUUUAACCUGAAAAUCAGCUAUAGCCAUGCUUCUUAAGAAAUUUCUGACGCAGAAUUUUCUGUUAUGCUGUUGCAAAAACCACUUGAAAGGGUAAAGGAAAAGAGAGUGUGUAUAAUAAGGUCAAGCGUAUUGCUCUGUGGUUGUAUUCUCAAAACAAAACACUGGGGUGUUCCCAGAAGGUGGAGAUAGCAUUGCAAGGCCUGGAAAUGCUGUAAAAUGGAGGAAAUCAGAGGAAAACACUGAAGGGACUCAGGGUGAUUUCUUAAAAACCGUGGCGGACCCUGCAUGCACGGUCGGUGCUGCCAGUGCCGUGGUCAGUGAUACACGGGGGGUGUUAAUCCUCGCGGGGCUGAACCUCCUGCUUCUGGUCUUGAACUCGGGGGAAAUCCUUGACCUGAGUGAAGGAGAGAAGAUGCCGAUGGCUGCUUUUGUCACACGACUCAGACCCCGGCAGAGAGAGAGAGAUGUUAAAAAUGAACUAAUGAGCGUUGUUAACAACAACAAAACCGCUGCCUCCAGGCGAAGUUUUGCCAGCUUCAGUUUUCGUCGCUUUCAGCUCAAUAUACCAAUUAAACCGUGACCGAAACAGAAAAUGUUAUAGUUUUAUUUUUAAAGAACAUAAACAAUAACAUUUUAUAAAUGCAGCAGCUUCCCUUUCUCCAGAAGGAAUGAAUACUUCGGCUUCCUUCACGAGAUGCAGUUGCCUAGAGGUGUUCAGCUACUGCCCCAGCUUUGUGAUCCCCACAGCACAUAUGCCUAAGAAAUACAAUCCUCAUGCUAUUGUCUGCGUUCCUUUCCAAAUACGUUUGCAAUUGCAGGCAUGAAAAACAGCUGGAGAUGGGAACAUUUGUUGGCUUUAAAACUUGUGGGAUGACAGCUCAGCCUGACUUCCAGCACAAAUGAUCAGGGGAAGAACUGAUUCUGCCAGAGAAUACGGGAUCCCACAUCCACACGUGAAGGACUCUGCUGAGCCUUGGUGUGCAAACCUAGUGUCCAACCACGCUCAUGUCCCCCUUGCAAAGGUCAUUGAGGCGACGGGAGGACCUCGUCUUGCAGCAGGACAUCUCCUGGGGGACACCAGAAUACAGAAUGGAAGCAAUUUCCAGAAAGCACAGCAAGUAUUAAAACAUGCGGAAGCGCAGGGAACGGGGAAAAAAAUAUCCCAGCUGUUACUCGGCUCUCCUGAAUAUAUUGUGGCAGCUCAAAUAUUCAUCGAGUCCUGACUGUUCCAAACAAGGAGGCAAAUUCUGAAGUUUUAAUUAUAUGAGGAAUGACCUAGAAUGGGAAAGAAGUCUUGACACCCAGAGCCCAUGUGCGAGAGGUCUCCAAACCCCAGAGUGCUCCCCUUGGAGGUGCUUUGGCUGGAAAUCAAAGCCAGGAUUUUCAGAAGUGACUACCGAUUGCUGAUACCUUGAGUGUACAAAACAAAUCCAAGAAGUAGCAGACAGAAAUCUUUCUCCUCCCCCAGAGGACAGAACACUCCC